rfam:Thalassospira xiamenensis M-5 = DSM 17429, complete genome.
AGGUGGUUGUCCAAAUACCACCGACACUGAAGAGGCACACCAUCAUUGCCCUACGUGCGGACGGGAAACUCCCAUCCAUAGCGAGGCAAAAAGUUUCGCAAGUUCCGGUAGGCACCGGAGCUUAUCAGCCUGUCGGUAGUCCGCGUUACUG